rnacentral:rRNA from 1 species
AAACUUUCAACAACGGAUCUCUUGGUUCUGGCAUCGAUGAAGAACGCAGCGAAAUGCGAUAAGUAAUGUGAAUUGCAGAAUUCAGUGAAUCAUCGAAUCUUUGAACGCACAUUGCGCCUCCCGGUAUUCCGGGAGGCAUGCCUGUUCGAGCGUCAUUACAACCCUCAAG